rnacentral:lncRNA from 1 species
UGCAUACACAUCGGAAGGAGAUUAACGCUACGAAUCUUAUCCUCAAAACUGAUCGGACAUCCUCGAUACAAAUCAGAAAUAACUACAGAAGUCCCCAUCGGGGUAGCAAUAGACAUCACAGAAUCUAAAGACUGAGAUGGCACACCCAGGUGCCGAACAAAAGACUGAGCAACAAUGGAAUGAGUAGAACCGGUAUCAAACAAAAUAGACGCCUCACAAUUGCCAACUAAAAGAGUACCAGAAACAGUACCUGGUGUACCUGCCGCCUGGUUAUGCGUCAAGGCAAACACUCGACCGCCCUGACGCUGACCUCCAUUGCCACCAUUAUCGCCACCUCCACCAUUUCCACGUGGCCCAGCACAAUCCCUAGCAAUGUGACCUAUCUGUCCACACAAGAAGCAUGCACCAGUGAGUCUGUGGCACUACCUCCCCGGAUGAUUAGCCCCACAAGUAGCACAAGGAGCUAUCGGAAUAAGAUUCGGGUUACCCCCACCAGCUGGUCCUGGGUAACGACCCUAAUUUUGCC